GCUGAUGUGCAAAAACUAUAAUGCUCAUCUGGCUGAAAUUACCAGCGAAGCCGAAAAUAAGUUCGUGACCAAGUUUGUCAGCGACCUAAACCAUGACUUCUGGAUCGGAGCCGCAGAUGUCUUAAUCGAAGGUCAGUGGGUGUGGUAUAACAGCCAUUAUAUAAUUAAUAACUCCACCUAUUCGAACUGGGCUGCAAACGGAUUGGAUGAUGCAAACGGUAACGAAAAUUGUGCGCAAAUUGGACCAACUGGAGAAUGGCAUGAUGCGCAAUGUGACCAAUCGCAUUACUUCAUGUGUGGACGAAGCACCGACCACAGUGGUGAAGUAUUUGGAUAGGAAGAAGUCUUUUGAAGUGAAAUUGCUGCUGUGAAAUAAAGUCUAAAAUAGCA